rnacentral:rRNA from 1 species
CUAUGGGUUGUAAACUCCUUUUCUCGGAGAAGAAUACUGACGGUAUCCGAGGAAUAAGCAUCGGCAAAAUCUGUGCCAGCAGCCGCGGUAAGACAGGUGAUGCAAGUGUUAUCCGGAAUGAUUGGGCGUAAAGCGUCUGUAGGUGGUUUAUCCAGUCUGUUGUUAAAACUUAGGGCUUAACCCUAAUCCGGCAACAGAAACUAAUAGACUAGAGUACGGUAGGGGCAGAGGGAAUUCUCGGUGUAGUGGUGAAAUACGUAGAUAUCGAGAAGAACACCAAUAGCGAAAGCACUCUGCUGGGCCGAAACUGACAUUCAGAGACGAAAGCUAGGGGAGCG